UGCGUUAUGGUGUAAUGGCUAACACUAUCGCCUCUCAU
rnacentral:tRNA from 1 species